GAUGAACGCUGGCGGCGUGCUUAACACAUGCAAGUCGAACGAAGCAUUUGCGACAGAUUUUUUCGGAAUGAAGUUGCUUAUGACUGAGUGGCGGACGGGUGAGUAACGCGUGGGUAACCUGCCUUGUACUGGGGGAUAGCAGCUGGAAACGGCUGGUAAUACCGCAUAAGCGCACAAUGUUGCAUGACAUGGUGUGAAAAACUCCGGUGGUAUAAGAUGGACCCGCGUCUGAUUAGCUAGUUGGUGAGAUAACAGCCCACCAAGGCGACGAUCAGUAGCCGACCUGAGAGGGUGACCGGCCACAUUGGGACUGAGACACGGCCCAGACUCCUACGGGAGGCAGCAGUGGCGAAUAUUGCACAAUGGAGGAAACUCUGAUGCAGCGACGCCGCGUGAGUGAAGAAGUAAUUCGUUAUGUAAAGCUCUAUCAGCAGGGAAGAUAGUGACGGUACCUGACUAAGAAGCUCCGGCUAAAUACGUG
rnacentral:rRNA from 1 species